AGCGAACGCUGGCGGCAGGCUUAACACAUGCAAGUCGAGCGGGCACUUCGGUGUCAGCGGCAGACGGGUGAGUAACACGUGGGAACGUACCCUUUGGUUCGGAAUAACGCUGGGAAACUAGCGCUAAUACCGGAUACGCCCUUUUGGGGAAAGGCUUGCUGCCGAAGGAUCGGCCCGCGUCUGAUUAGCUAGUUGGUGGGGUAAUGGCCUACCAAGGCGACGAUCAGUAGCUGGUCUGAGAGGAUGAUCAGCCACACUGGGACUGAGACACGGCCCAGACUCCUACGGGAGGCAGCAGUGGGGAAUAUUGGACAAUGGGCGCAAGCCUGAUCCAGCCAUGCCGCGUGAGUGAUGAAGGCCUUAGGGUUGUAAAGCUCUUUUGUCCGGGACGAUAAUGGCGGUACCGGAAGAAUAAGCCCCGGCUAACUUCGUG
rnacentral:rRNA from 1 species